rnacentral:lncRNA from 1 species
AUGCUUUUGUUUCUACCUUAUUUCUUCCACAGCUCUUCCAAAGUUGGUUUGUAGCAGUGUACCAUGAUAUUAUACAGAGGAAGGGCUUGAAAUUGGGUUCUGAUGAGGAGUUCCUAUACAGUUCCCGUGCAAACUCCAACAUCUGAGAGGCAAAUUGAAACAGUUGAGUUUUGAAAUGCAAAUACUUUAAACAUUAAUUCUUAGAACAUUGUAGAUUGGAAAGUGCAUUCCUGAACCAAACUGUUUUGUUGAAGCUCUUGGUGGGUCUAUUUGAUUCUAAACUUGUCUUUGAAGGAAUAAAAUAGAACCCACUUUUCUUAUUUGCAUGCUACUGUUUCAAUUAAUUAUGCCACUUUCAAAUCAGGAAAACUAACAAUCAUUCUAUACUUAUAUAAA